CUGCCGAGUAGAAGCGUUCAGCGCUGCCACCUUUCUUCGCUGUUGGUGGCGCCCGGAAAUUGCUCAGUUC
rfam:Acidovorax sp. CF316 PMI14_contig_826.826, whole genome shotgun sequence.